AUCUCUUUAGUAGGGAUGUCAAUGGAUCAGAUUCGAGGUAGAUUUUCAAAAAUUCGAACCCAAAUCCGACUCCAAACCUGAAACCCGAACCCGAACCCGACGAAUUUUAAAAAUCCAUAUCCAAACCCGAACCUACCAAAAAUUCGAAACCCAAAUCUGAAUCCGAAUCCGAAACAAUUAUUUCUAUUUUCAAUAUAUCAAAAUAUUACAUUAAAUCUAAAUUUUUAAAAUAUAAAUUCAAAUAUUUCAUCAAAUUUUUAUAUGCAUAUUAUAUAUAAUGUAAAAUAAAUUCGGGUUCGGGUCGGGUUUGGGUUCGGGUCGGGUACAGUCACAAUCCAUAUCCAAAUCCAUAUCCGUCGAAUUUUUGUUUUCGAUAACCGUAUCCGAAACCAUAUCCAUUUAGCAUCGCCGUUCGGAUUCGGAUUUGAGUUCGGAUAAAAUUUCGGAUAUCCAUACCCAUUGACAUCCCUACUCUUUGCCUCUUCUAUCCAUCUUUUGUCUUAUUUUAUAUUCCUACAAAUUUACAUUACAUCAGACGUCAUUAAAAAUAGUUAAUUUUGAGACCACUUGAAUACUAGUUAAUUGAUACCAAAAAAUUAUGAAAUUUGAAACUUGCAAAGUUCAAAUAGUAAUAAAGUGUAAUAUGGCCAAUUGUCGAUUCAGAAUGUCUAUCCCAUCGUCAAAAUUGAUGUAGUGCUAGAAAAUUCUGGGUCUAACCGAAAGCCACAUAAGCCCAAGAAUAUGACAUGCCUAAUAGAACUUAUGGAACUUAAAAGCUUAACUUUAUGGUUUAAUGGUACCGAUUGUCGAUUAAGAUAUCCCAAUUGUUAGAAAGAAUAU
rnacentral:lncRNA from 1 species